rnacentral:lncRNA from 1 species
CUCCUUGCGCCGCCACUAACUCCACCUGGUCUCCCCCACCUCGGGAUCUUGCCCGAUCCAAAAAUCCUCAUCGGGAUCCCCUGCCCGAUCCACCCAACCAGCUCGUAGCCGCCUCCCCUUCCCUGCUCCCGUGCGUGUCCAGCACCACAGGAGAGGUGCUCCUCGAGCCCUCGAUCCAGCGCGCAGAUGCUCGAGCGCUCCUCCUCGUGACCCGCCGCCCCGGCGAACCGUCACCGUCGGCGACCACUUCCAUCAGGCCGGACCCCGCUCCCCUCGUUGCUUCUCCUUCUCCCGUUCCCUCCGUUUUCCCUCUCUCACUUACUCUCUGUCAUCUCCAGGAAACUGCAGGAGGCAAGCACCAUGCCAUGGCAUCCCCUGCUCGACGACUGCGUCGCCGUCGUCGACUUCGCGCCCAUCCCCGCCUGAUUCUGCAGCGCCGCCGCCCGUCUUCUUCGUUCAAGGCAAGCUCUGCUGCUGUCCUGCUCGAGCUGCCAAGUCCCUGUCGCCUCGCCGCUGUACCCCGUCCUCGACCUCAUUCAGCAGCCCCCGCCGCAAGCCGCGACCUCCACAGCCUCCUCCCGAAUCUGCUCCGCCUCGCCUCUGCCGGAUCGGAGCAGCACCGGACCAGCAGGACCGUGCCCUUCCUCUCCAGCCUCCCCUCUGUUUUCUUCUAGAUCACCGGCAACGCUCUCUCUCAGGAUCUCUCUUCUCUCUCGCUUCUCUCCACAGGGAACCGAAGCCAUGGCCACCGGCCGUCCAUGGUCGCCGCCGCAAGGAUCUGCUCGCCUCCGCUGCCUCCGCGCCAUCCCUGUCGCCGGAGGAUGCAGCCCCGCCGCUUCCAAGUCCUCUGCUUCGCCCGUGGUCGAGCGAGACGACCAUAAACGCAGCCGCGUUGACCGCCCGCUCGCCAGCGCCUUUCUGCCUCGCUGGCAAGGCCCAGCCUGCUCCAGCUCCUCAUCCGGCAUGCCAGGCCUCUCCACCAGCUGGGCCGAGGCCCAUGGUGAGAACCUCCCCCAGCGCCCAUGUCCUGUUUCAGCCUGUGCUCUAAUUCAGCCCGCAUGUGUUUUUUUUACUGCUGCGAAUUUAACAUUAUCCAUUGUAUUACUGAUUUACAGAAAACCCCUCCAUGUUCAUGCAUAUAAUAACUCAUUAUCCGUGCGUCAUAUGUAAAUAAUUUAUAUAUGUGAUAUGCUCAGAAAAUUGUGUAGAUUAACAAUAUGCCACUUUCAUCCCAUGUUAAUAUGUUUAACAUGUUGUUUACAUUAAUUUGCUCCUAUGCCAUGCUAAAAUGAUUUAUUUCAUAACUAUUUAACCGUAACUCCGAAUUUAAUGUUCUUUAUAUGUAAAUGGGGUGGAAAAAUGCCUAGUUUAACAUGGUGCACUUUGUUUUAUUGUUUAACAACUUUAAAAUAUGUUUUAGGGCAGAACAGUAGCAAAUUCAUAAAUUGCAUAUGAGGUUUUUCCGAAAAUAUUGUUUGUUGUUCCGGCCUCAUUUAAACUUGCCUAAAUAUUUAGUUUACUUUUGUUACACCCCUUGACAUGUUUAACAACAUUUAACAUUGUUGUGUACCUAAACGAGAGCGAACUAAAUAACUCGGAUGUGGUGUUUCGUCAAUAUGCAACUCGUUGCAUAUUGAGCUCCACUUAACUUGUAGUAUUGUGUGUUGCACUUUGCCAUGCCAUGCCCCAUUAAACCGGACAUGCAUCAUAAUUGAUUGUGCAUCAUGCCAUAUUUAUGCUUGUGUGUUUAACAUGUUGUUUGUUUCUUUCCGGUGUUGCUUCUUAGUCCCGGUAAUGUUGCGAUUGUGAGGAUUCAUUCGACUACGUCCAUUUGUCUUCUUCAUGGACUCGUUCUUCUUCCUAGCGGGAUUUCAGGCAAGAUGACCGCUACCCUGGAUCUCACUACUAUCAUUGAUAUGCUAGUUGCUUCGUUCUAUCGCUAUGUUGCGCUACCUAUCAUUUUGUUCUAUCAAGCCUCCCAAAUUGCCAUGAACCUCUAACCUUUGACACCAUUCCUAGCAAACCGUUGCUUGGCUAUGUUACCGCUUUGCUCAGCCCUCUUAUAGCGUUGCUAGUUGCAGGUGAAGUUGAAGAUUGCUCCAUGGUGGAUAGGGUUAUGUUGGGAUAUUACAAUAUCUCUUAUAUUAUUAAUGCAUCUAUAUAUUUGGUAAAGGGUGGAAGGCUCGGCCUUAUGCCUGGUGUUUUGUUCCACUCUUGCCGCCCUAGUUUCUGUCAUACCGGUGUUAUGUUCCCGGAUUUUGCGUUCCUAACGCGGUCGGGUGAUUUAUGGGACCCCCUUGACAGUUCGCUUUGAUAAAACUUGUCCAGCAAGGCCCAACCUUGGUUUUACCAUUUGCCUCACCACCACCUAUACCCUUCCCUUGGGUCGGCCAACCCGAGGGUCAUCUUUAUUUUAGCCCCCCCGGGCCAGUGCUUGUCUAAGUGCUGGUCCGAACUGAGUAGACCGCGGGGCCCCCUCGGGGCAACUCGAGGUCUGGUUUUACUCGUAGGAUGUCUCAUCUGGUGUUACCCUGAGAACGAGAUAUGUGCAGCUCCUAUCGGGAUUGUCGGCGCAUCGGGCGGCUUUGCUGGUCUUGUUUUACCAUUGUCGAAAUGUCUUGUAAACCGGGAUUCCAAGACUGAUCGGGUCUUCCUGGGAGAAGGUCUAUUCCUUCGUUGAUCACGAGAGCUUGUCAUGGGCUAAGUUGGGACACCCCUGCAGGGUAUAAACUUUCGAGAGCCGUGCCCGCGGUUAUGUUGCAGAUGGGAAUUUGUUAAUGUCCGGUUGUAGAUAACUUGACACCAGAUCCGAAUUAAAAUGCAUCAACCGCGUGUGUAGCCGUGAUGGUCUCUUCUCGGUGGAGUCCGGGAAGUGAACACGGUUUCUGGGUUAUGUUUGACGUAAGUAGGUGUUCAGGAUCACCUCUUGAUCAUUGCUAGCUUCACGACUGUUCCUUUGUUUCUCUUCUCGCUCUCAUUUGCGUAUGUUAGCCACCAUAUAUGCUUAGCCGCUGCUGCAACCUCACCACUUUACCCCUUCCUUACCCAUUAAGCUUUGCUAGUCUUGAUACCCAUGGUAAUGGGAUUGCUGAGUCCUCGUGGCUCAUAGUUACUUCCAAAACCAGUUUGCAGGUACCAAUGUUACCAAGCAGGUGACGCCACCAAGCUCAAGGAGGAGCUCGAUGAAGAUCUUGCCCUUUGUGUUGUUUCGUUCUAGUUGAUCAGUAGUGGAGCCCAGUUGGGGUCGAUCGGGGACCUUUGUCACAUUUGGGGUUCUUCUUUUAUUUUGGUUCCGUAGUCGGACCUUGAUUGUAUCUGUAUGAUGUAAUGCUUUACUCAUGUAUUGUGUGAAGUGGCGAUUGUAAGCCAACUAUGUAUCUCUUUCCCUUAUGUAUUACAUGGGUUGUGUGAAGAUUACCUCACUUGCGACAUUGCUUUCAAUGCGGUUAUGCCUCUAAGUCGUGCUUCGACACGUGGGAGAUAUAGCCGCAUCGAGGGCGUUACAAGUUGGUAAUCAGAGCCUUCCCCGACCUUAGGAGCCCCACUGCUUGAUCGUUUUUAGCGGCCAAGUUGUGUCUAGAAAAAUGUUUUGAGUCAUUUAGGAUUAUAUAUAUCGGAGAGUUAGGAAUUCUUUUUACUCCCCAGUCUCUUCAUCGCUCUGGUAAGGCAUCCUGACGUAGAGUUUUGACUCUUCUCUUCUCAAAUUUCACUAAAUUUUUUUUAGGAUCACGCGGGUAUCUUGGAAUCAUUCCGAUGGUUUUAUGAUGAGAACAUUGUCUUGGUGCCUUCUGUCAGGGGUUUAGUGGAAGUGUCCUGGGGAGUUGAGCUCUGAGGUGUUGUCGUCAUAAUUUUAUCGUUGCAGUUCUGGAAUACCUGAGUUUAGUACGCCGACAUCGAAAAUCUCUUUUAUGCAGUUGUUGUUGAGAUAACCCCGAUAACCCAGUACUGAGGUGAGUACGGGAGUAUUGCCAUAACUUGUAUAACGGAUGCUUUUCGAAGGUUGAGGUACACGAUUUCCGAAGGUUUCUUGGUUAUGUUUUGACGGAUGGAUACAGCUUGGAUGUAGGUAUUGUUAGUUUGGGUGAGAUAUAUUGCUUCCCGUGUAUCCCCAACACCAGAUUGCAUAACCAGAAAGUUUCGGGAGUUUAUAGGUGGGAAUUCAAGUAGCUCCUAGAACAUCUUUCCGACAGAUGCAUGAUAUGGGAUUGGGUAAAUCUCUAUCAUAUGUUUGUUCCGGCUUAUUCUGCAAGCCAGUCCUUUGUUUUUGUUUUGAGUUGUGGUAUUCGAGUUGCUUCAAUGUCAAGUGUUGAUUCCAUACCUUUCCGAAAUGGUGUUCUCAUACUCCGAUGUGAAUACCAAUCCUUCUCGACAAUCGAGAUUGUCAUGUCAAUCCUUUUCAACCGGCGUGUUUCUCUUCAAGUGGAUCAGAUCACUUCAACAUCAGCAAGACCAAUUAUCAUUUCUUCUCAACGGUGUUUGUUUCAUCCGUCUCCAAGUUGCCUUUGUUUUUCCCGCCCACCCUCCCUUUUUCCUCAAGGACUAAGAUUUCUUUACCAAGUAUCCUUUUAUUUUUGUGAAGUUUCUCCAUUCUUUUCCGUCAAUGUUCUUACCCGGUGGUUCUCAAGAAGAUGUUCUACUAGUUCGUCAUUCCUCAUUCCUUUCUCUUCUCCGGUGGAUUCAAGUCAAGUUUUGUUGAUCAUACCUUUUUCCUCAUUUCAAUGUCUUCUCAUACCGGUGCACCUCAUUAUCAUUCUACUUCUCGCUAUUUGUUAUUCCGGAGUGCUCAAGAUAUCUCAAAGAUUCGUGUUUCCACUCUGCAUUCGUUCAAGCUCUUUCGAGAUUGGUAUCUCAUUCAAGUCAUUUAAUUCAACCGGUGCAACAUCUCUUUUAAAUCUUUGCAACGGUGUUCUUUUGAGUGGGCCCUAACCCACAGGUCUUUUCCCAGGAUCUUACCUGACUCUUCUAUUUUCCCAGAGCUAUCCUAAAUUCUUCUCCAAGUUUGACGUAAGAAUGAGUUAUCAUCAGUCAAAUGCUUUUCUCCAAGAUCUUUCAAAUUCUUUUCAUAGUUGGCUCAACCUCUUCGCUUUUGAUUCUUCCGGUGUGCCUCAAUAAUUCUUGGUGGUGUUUUUCAUUGUCAUUCUCAACAUUUGAAGACCGUAGACGGAUUUCUCUUAAAUCUUGGUCCAUUCUCUUGAAGGUUCAUGGCUCUAGCUUCAUGCUAUCAUCAUAAUUGUUUUGAUUGUGACUAUUCUUUUCACCCAUCCGGAGCAUUUCAUGAGUUGUUUCCAUUUCUUUCCUCCGAAGGCCAUCAUGUCAUAAUUCUUCAUUCUCAGCGUGUAGCUAUCGUUCUCCAAAUCUUACCGGUGAUUUGUUUAAAUAUCCUCUAAUCAGUUCAUGUUCUCUUCGUUCUCAUGUAUCUAAAUCCCCUCAAAUAUCUUCAUUUGUUUUCCAAUUCUUCCCGGUGAAUUGUGCCUUUGCUACAUUCAUUUUCAAUUCUUACGGUGGUUCGUUAAAGAUUUCACUUCCUUCAUUAUCUUAUCAAUUCAUUCGUUGUUUUCAAAUCCUACUGGUGGAUCGUUGAAGACUUUUCUCAAGUUUGCUCUAUAUCUUCUUAAUCCUUUCUAGAAGAAUAAGUAGUAUGCCAACUCCAUUGCUUAUCAUCAAUUUAAUUUGAUGAAGGAUAAACAUACAAUAAAUCUUAUUCUUAUUUCCUCGAGGUGAUUCAAUUCUUUUUUUCCGGAGAUUAUUCAUCAUGAAUAAAUUCUUGAUUACAAGUGAUUCAUCUUUCUUUCCGGAGUUUGUUCAUCAUAUCACAUUCUCGGUUUCAUGUGUUUCAUGUUUUCUUUUCCGGAGUUCCAAGUUUUCCGCAUUAUCUCGUCACGAAGCUCCAUCUAAAUCAUUGCAACGCUUCACCUUGUGUUUUCAACUUCUCUUUCUUUUCAUCAUCCUUCUAUUACCGGAGUUCUUCAUGGAGGCUCUAAAUGGUGGGUCGUCAAGGAUUCUUUUCAUUCUUCAAUUGUUCUUCAAGAUUUCGCUCGAAGUUAUGAUCCGCCAAGCUAUACUCAAAAGUAAACAGGGUGCCCAACACUUGUUUUGUUUUGAGAAGCUCAAGUAUUCUCCGUCUUGCAUUCCAAAGUGCAAUUCCUUCUAUCUUAUCUUUUGAGAUAGUGUUAUGUCACUCUUGACAAUUUCCUUCAUGUUUCAUGAUUCAUAUUGUUGUCAAGAAUGAGGUAUUUUAAAUCCAGCAGUCUCUUCACUGGAUUUAUAUUGGGUUAUAUUUCACCUAAAGCCUUCCCCAAGGAAUGUUGCUAUUUUGUGGUGAUUACGCAUGACCCAAGCUUACUCUUUAUCCUCUUGGUGGAAGAAGUUUUCAUCUCUUCGUUGAUCUCAAGCAAGCAAUUGUUUUCGUUAGUGGCAGAAUUUCACCUCAAGUGUUGAGAUGUUUUCCAUAAGCCACAACAAGUUUGUGCUUCUCGUUGUUGAUUUUCCAACAACUCCGUUCGAUUCUUCUUUGCAAGGAUGCUUUCCAGGUUCACUUGUGGAAAAAGUUGUCAUUUUCUUCUCCGUCCCUUUAUCCCAAUGAUCUAACUUCUAUUCUUUCGUUACGGAGACAUUGUGAUGUUGUGCUCUUCACUCAUCACCUCGUUUUUUUUGAGGAUCGUGUUCUUUUCUUGUUUAUCCAUUUAACCGGAGUGUUGUAUCAUCUCUUCAAUAUCUCUUCAUCUCAUCAAGCUUUUCUACCGGAGUGCUGUCCAAAUUCUGUCAUUCUUGUUCCUUGGCUAUCUCACUAUACCGAGGUGGUCAUAUUCUUUUCGUUCGUGAAGCUCUUUUUUCCAUGUCUUUCAACCUUCAAGUUCUCGUAAUACUCCUUGUUCCUCUUUUCUAACGAAUUGUUUGCAAUCUCGUUCAUCUCUGUUGUACUCUUUCUUUUAAAUUGCUCAACCUCUCAAGGUUUGUGGUUUCACUAGUUCGUCAAAGAAGCAACUUAGUUUUACCUCUUCUCUUCCUCUUUCUUUUCCCUCCGGUGCCAUCCUAGAUCUCGGGACGAGAUCCUCUCGUAGUGGUGGAGUGUUGUAACGCCCCGGAUGUAACUUUCCAUAUUCGUAACUCCAACUCCUGCCUUUUCCGGAGAUGCGAUAUAUUAUUUUCUCCGUGGUUGGGUUUUUGUCUUUCGUUUUGCAUUUUGUUCAUGUCAUGCAUUUCAUCAUCGCAUCAUUCGCAUUGCAUCGGCAUUGUUUUCAUAAAACUUGCAUUCGCUCGUAGUUGUUGCUUCUUCCUUGUUCCUGUUGACCCCUCUCAGAUCAACCGGACCGCUCUCUUCUCUCUCUUUUCUGAGCCCAUCAAAACCCUUUGUCUCCAUGGCGUUUCGUCAAACCCCUCUUGCGUGCGUCCGAAAACUCCCCUGAACCCGACCCGGGCAGUCAUUACCAUUGGGUCCGGAUCAUCCCCUAACGUCUACAAAACAUCUCUGUUUUGUUAUUUGGGCUCCCUAACUAUUUUAUUCGCGACCGUCCGAUUUUAAUCGAAGGGACCAAAUGACCCUAAGCCUACCCACUCGCUAUAUAUAGCAGUCUAACCCUAGAUCCUAGGGGCUUGUCCCAUCCAUUCCCCUCCUUGCGCCGCCACUAACUCCACCUGGUCUCCCCCACCUCGGGAUCUUGCCCGAUCCAAAAUUCCUCAUCGGGAUCCCCUGCCCGAUCCACCCAACCAGCUCGCAGCCGCCUCCCCUUCCCUGCUCCCGUGCGUGUCCAGCACCACAGGAGAGGUGCUCCUCGAGCCCUUGAUCUAGCGCGCAGAUGCCCGAGCGCUCCUCCUCGUGACCCACCGCCUCGGCGAACCGUCACGGUCGGCGACCACUUCCAUCAGGCCGGACCCCGCUCCCCUCGUUGCUUCUCCUUCUCCCGUUCCCUCCGUUUUCCCUCUCUCACUUGCUCUCUGUCAUCUCCAGGAAACUGCAGGAGGCAAGCACCAUGCAAUGGCCUCCCCUGCUCGACGACCGCGUCGCUGUCGUCGACUUCGCGCCCAUCCCCGCCUGAUUCUGCAGCACCGCCGCCCGUCUUCUUCGUUCACGGCAAGCUUUGCCGCUGUCCUGCUCGAGCUGCCAAGUCCCUGUUGCCUCGCCGCUGUACCCCGUCCUCGACCUCAUUCAGCAGCCCCCGCCGCAAGCCGCGACCUCCACAGCCUCCUCCCGAAUCUGCUCCGCCUCGCCUCUGCCGGAUCGGAGCAGCACCGGACCAGCAGGACCGUGCCCUUCCUCUCCAGCCUCCCCUCUGUUUUCUUCUAGAUCACCGGCAACGCUCUCUCUCAGAAUCUCUCUUCUCUCUCGCUUCUCUCCACAGGGAACCGAAGCCAUGGCCGCCGGCCAUCCAUGGUCGCCGCCGCAAGGAUUUGCUUGCCUCCGCUGCCUCCGCGCCAUCCCUGUCGCCGGAGGAUGCAGCCCCGCC